AUAAAGCGGAAACGGGGCUCGCUUUUGAAAUCAGCGCCCGCCGGCGGUGACGCGCUGUCACACGGCGCUGCGCUGCGGGCGCUUCUCGCGGGACGCGGCCACAGACGGACGUGGCCAUAGAGACGGCGCCGCCACACGCCCAGCUCGCGGAGCUGAGGGAGCCGCCCGCCGCCGCCGCCGCAGUUGUACCUGCAAACCUCGUUUAAAUGUUCCAUCUGAACAACCAAAAUGAGACUGAAGACUUCGCUUUUAAAGGAACCAAAACAUAAGGAAUUAGUUAGCUGCGUAGGAUGGACCACAGCUGACGAGCUGUAUUCCUGCAGUGAUGAUCACCAGAUUCUGAAAUGGAACCUUCUAACGAGUGAGACGACUCGAGUAGUGAAACUUCCAGAUGAUACUUAUCCCAUAGACCUUCACUGGCUUCCCAGAAGUGUUGGUGGGAAGAAGCAGUCCCAGGCUGAGAGCUUCGUUCUUACAAGUUCUGAUGGGAAAUUCCACUUAAUUUCAAAAGUGGGAAGAGUAGAGAAAAGCGUAGAAGCCCACAGCGGAGCCGUGCUUGCAGGGAGGUGGAAUUCCGAGGGAACGGCGUUGGCUACAGUUGGUGAAGAUGGCCAAGUGAAAAUCUGGUCCAAAAGUGGAAUGCUGAGAUCCACUUUAGCUCAACAAGGAACGCCGGUGUACUCAGUGGCCUGGGGACCUGAUUCUGAAAAGGUUCUCUAUACUUCAGGAAAGCAGCUCAUUAUUAAACCCCUCCAACCAAAUGUUAAAGUUUUGCAGUGGAAGGCCCACGAUGGGCUUAUUUUAAAAACCGACUGGAACUCAGUGAAUGAACUUAUCCUUUCUGCAGGUGAAGACUGUAAAUAUAAGGUUUGGGACAGUUAUGGGCAUCUUCUGUACAGCUCACAGCCCCAUGAGUAUCCAAUAACGUCUGUUGCUUGGUCUGGGGAUGGAGAAUUAUUUGCUGUGGGAUCUUUCCAUACUUUACGUCUAUGUGAUAAAACUGGGUGGUCCUAUGCUUUAGAGAAGCCAAACACUGGCAGCAUAUUUAAUAUUGCUUGGUCUGUGGAUGGCACUCAACUGGCUGGAGCUUGUGGGAAUGGACAUGUCAUUUUUGCCCAUGUUGUGGAGCAACGCUGGGAGUGGAAGAACUUUGAAAUAACAUUGAUUAAGAGAAGAACCAUGCAGGUGCACAAUGUUAUCAAUGAUGCAGUCGAUUUGCUGGAGUUCCGUGACAGAGUUAUUAAGGCCUCUUUGAACUAUGGGCAUUUGGUUGUUUCAACUUCUCUUCAGUGUUACAUAUUUUCCACAAAUAACUGGAAUACACCACUUAUCUUUGACCUGAAGGAAGGAACAGUUACUUUGAUUCUACAAGCAGAAAGGCAUUUUCUUCUUGUAGAUGGUGGAGGACUUUAUUUAUACUCUUAUGAAGGAAGAUUAAUUUCCUCUCCAAAAUUUCCAGGAAUGAGAACAGACAUUUUAAAUGCCCAGACAGUAUCUUUGAGUAAUGAUACUCUGGCAGUCAAAGACAAAGCUGAUGAAAAGGUCAUCUAUAUAUUUGAUGCUAUAUCUGGCAAGACACUAGGAGAUGGAAAAUCUCUAACCCAUAAGACAGAAAUUGUGGAGAUUGCAUUGGACCAGAAAGGACUCACAAAUGAAAGAAAAAUAGCUUUUAUUGAUAAGAACAGAGACCUUUACAUUACUUCAGUUAAAAGGUUUGGAAAGGAACAGAAAAUUAUCAAAAUAGGAACAAUGGUUCAAACGUUGGCUUGGAACGACACAUCUAACUUACUCUGUGGGAUUCAGGAUACCCGUUUUACAGUCUGGUACUACCCCAACACUGUCUAUGUAGAUAAGGAUCUUUUGACAAAAACUCUGUAUGAAAAAGAUGCAAGUGAUUUCAGCAAAAACCCUCAGAUUGUACAUUUUGUUGGAAAUCAAAUAACAAUCAGAAGAGCAGAUGGUUCACUUAUUCACGUUAAUAUUUCACCUUACCCUGUGAUUCUUCAUGAGUAUGUUAGUAGCUCUAAGUGGGAAGAUGCUGUCAGGUUGUGUCGCUUUGUCAAGGAUCAAACCAUGUGGGCAUGUUUAGCUGCUAUGGCAGUUGCCAACAAAGACAUGGCUACUGCAGAAAUUGCCUAUGCAUCAAUUGGUGAGAUAGACAAAGUUCAGUACAUCAAUUCCAUCAAAGAUCUUCCAUCGAAAGAGUCAAGGAUGGCUCAUAUGCUGUUGUUCAGUGGAAACACACAAGAAGCUGAAACCCUACUCCUUCAAACAGGCCUUAUUUAUCAAGCUAUUCAAGUCAACAUUAAUCUCUACAAUUGGGAUAGGGCACUAGAGCUAGCAGUAAAGCACAAGACACAUGUUGACACCGUCCUGGCUUAUCGACAGAAGUUCCUAGAGGACUUUGGUAAAAAAGAAACAAACAAAAGAUUCUUGCAGUAUGCAGAAGGUCUGGAAGUUGACUGGAAUAAAAUCAAAGCCAAAAUAGAGAUGGAAAUUGCUAAAGAAAGAGAACGAGCAGCAGCCAGUGCCACAGAGGCUGAACCUGUUUUCCUGCCCUUUUUCUGGUGGAUUGGAAGCUCGGAGCAUUCUGGAUGUUAAGAUUGCAUGUUGGGUAUGAACCCAGUGGCUGAUUACACUGGUGGCACUGGUGUGCACACCAAGCCCUGCAAGCACAGCUGUGGGACCAGGCUUGGAAAAGGGCAUUUCUUACAGCAGAGCAGUGCAGGAGCUGGAAGCCCAGAUGGGCACAGCUCUCUGCCAUGCAUGGGGCUCUGGAGAAUCACUGAUGGGAUCUUUAUGGCAAAUACGGCGGUGAGUAACCAGCAUUGCACAGUGCAAAGCAUUAAUAAAGUGCUGCAUUUUAACAGCCUUUCUGAUCAGCUACAUCUUCAGCGUCAGAGCAUCAUGAAAUAUUAAGGCCUGCUGAUGGCUCAGGAAAGCCAACAUUUUGGUGAGCCCCCUGUCACAGGAUGUGGUUGAGGACCAGCAGCUGUAGGUAGGCAAAGCGGGGAUGGAGGCAGUGGGGCUGCCAGCUGUGCAGCCAGAUGUGCCACAGCUUGGGGAGAGCUGCUCAGGGCCAGGCUCCUGAAGUUCUCUUAAACAAGCAAGCCUAGAGCCAGGGGAUGGCGUCUGUAUUAGAGCUCACAUUCAACAGCUCAAAGCUUCAUAAAUAAUGAUCCAGAGCACCAAAAGCUUCUGGCAGAUCAAUGCAAGCAGCUAUCAGAAGUAACAAGUGUCCCUGUGCACUGGUGUUGUCUCAGUCAUAGAAUUACAGAAUCAUUCUAGUUGGUAAAGAUCAUCUAAGAUCAAGUCCAACCAUCAACCCAUCAGUUGGACACCUACAUUUAACAUGCAUUCUGUUAGCCAGCUGGACACCCACUUACGCAUCUCCAACUUAUUUCUUGCAACUCAAAAAACAAUCCCAAAUAAGCCUUGGUUGUGAUGCUGGGUGAGCAAUGUGCAUGCUGGGACCAGGGAAGAAGAACCCUAAUCUUUGGGAAAAUAUCCAGAAAUAGAGGGCUGGAGAGCAAGAACUCAUUGCCAUGGCCAAUGUUUCCCAGCAGAAAGCAUGGCGUAGGUUUGGCUGUGGGAAUUUUCGGUUUACAUACAGAUAUAUCAUGUGUGUCUUGCAAGAUGUGAGGCACUCACUGGAGUCUCAGCAUUUCUGGAAGGAGCCAAAAGCUGCCUCUCCCCAGCUUUGCAAGGACUGUGCAGUCAUCGAUCCUGCAAAUGCCCCCUGCAGAAAUCCAUCAAUUCCUUGGAGCAGCAGUUAUUAAAGGCUUGACUUCCAACUGGCGCCGAAGAGCUGACCUGGCCAAAUAGUUACUUUAUAGAGGGUUUCAUUUUCCUGGCGACCAUCACCAUUUGUGUAACUCUAAACCCGUCCUCACAAAGCCUGCUACCUGCACUGCCCUUGGUAGAAUGAUACUUCACAUCAGCCUUGCCCUUUCUUUUACAUUUCCUCCAAAUAUGGGGAAAGUAAUAAGGAAGAAGCACAACGAAGUUUCCUUUUGGCAGGGCCCAUUGCACAGCAGUUUGCAGCAGAAAUAAUCCUGUAGCUCCAAGGAGGGAUGCAGAGUGCUGGACGACAACAUAGAUCUGAAAUGGAAACAGACCCUUGAAGGACUUCACAACACUCAAACCAAUUUGCCAAAGUGAAGAAUAAGUAGUUGUUAAAAGUUCUGCAAAACCAGGAACUGAUGGAAAUGCCCAGGCAUGGCCUGCUUCGAUCCCUGCUCAGCUGGGGAGAGCUCUGAAUUGCUUGAAUUAAAACCACAGAGCUGAGCUCUAUUACUGCAUACUUCUCAGCACAUCUGUAACUGCAAUAGGCUUCAGAAACAAGAAGAUGACUCUGCAUGUGUAUGUCAUUACCUCACAGCUCAGAAAUCUCUACUGCCAGCAAAUAUUUUCUUCUAGACUAUUAAAAAAAGGGAAAGUGAGUGAGAGAAGCUCGAGCACGCGUGCAUGGCCACCAGUCCUUCCCGCACGAGGUGUUCUCUUCUGCUUAAUGAUUCUGGGUGUUCUCAGAAAUGAAGUGAUGGGUAGGAUCUAAGCAUUCUUCUUCACUGCAACUGGGUCUUGAACCAUCCUAAUGUUGGAGAUGAUCCCAUUCAUUCGCUGGGUUUUGGCUGAGUCUUCUGGUAUUGCAAGUAACGAGCACCUCCACACCUAAUGCUCAUCUAAAAAGUAGCUCACAGAACAAGCAGGAUUUGUUGGAUGGCAGUUUGUUGAUUAACAAUGUUAAUUUCUGCUGACAGCCCCUGGAUCCCAGCACUGUCCAUGUGCCGGCAGCCGGCGUGCUGCUGCUUGGUGUAGUGCAGAAAUGCUGAAAUGCGUUAAAACACAGCAACAGCUCAAGGCCCAUCAAGCACCAUUUGUCACAGCAGGAAGGACUGCUGCCAUGCUCUGGAAUAAUAAAAUAAAGUCAUUAUUUUUUUAAACAGGGGGCAACAUUUUCCCCAGCCGCUGCUCUCUUGUUAGUCACACCGGUUCUCCAGGGCCUGCAGUGAUACAGUCAUGAAUUUCUGAGAUGAUUUCAUCUCACUGUUAUUUACAACUUAGCUCCAAAACUCAGGCUCUUCCUAUUAUUUGUGGUUAAAUAUAGCAGUGGAUUCUUUCCCAUUCCUCCUCCUCUCGGCGCGGUCCCUCUGCCACCCACACAACUCGCAUGAAUCACAGGGCACACACAUCCCGGGGUCACUGUGAGCACAGGAGGUGAAACCAUGUCCAUGUGCUGGAGCCCAGCAUGCAGGGAUGGUCCCGGUCCUCUGGCAUCCCCAGCAUCCCAGGACAAGGGGGAAUGGUUUUAAACUGAAGCAGGGGAAGUUUAGAUUGGAUAUUAGGAGGAAGUUU